GUAGGUGGCAAGCGUUGUCCGGAAUUAUUGGGCGUAAAGCGCGCGCAGGCGGUUCUUUAAGUCUGAUGUGAAAGCCCACGGCUCAACCGUGGAGGGUCAUUGGAAACUGGAGAACUUGAGUACAGAAGAGGAAGCGGAAUUCCACGUGUAGCGGUGAAAUGCGUAGAGAUGUGGAGGAACACCAGUGGCGAAGGCGGCUUUCUGGUCUGUAACUGACGCUGAGGCGCGAAAGCGUGGGGAGCAAACAGGGAUUAGAUACCCUGGUAGUCCACGCCGUAAACGAUGAGUGCUAAGUGUUAGGGGGUUUCCGCCCCCUUAGUGCUGCAGCUAACGCAUUAAGCACUCCGCCUGGGGAUACGGCCGCAAGGCUG
rnacentral:rRNA from 1 species